GGGAGGCGCUCUAGCGCGGCGGCUACGUCUCGUUUGCCGCGCUCUCGGCUGCCCCCUGCAGGCAUGGAGGGACCCGGGGGCGGCAAUAACCGGGAGCCGCGUGCUGGAGGGGGCGAACCGGGGAGCCGCAGAGCGAGGUGUGAGCGCCGAUGUCCUCUGAUGGUGGCAGCGCUGCUCCGUUACCACAUCAACACGGCCUGGAGGGAGCCCACAGGGGGACGGGACUUGUCCGUCUGUCCCUUGUCCCGCUGUCUGUCCAUCCCAGCGUGCUGGAACUGCUGGCGGCCGUGUGGCCGAGCUCCAAAAGGCGUCGAGGCAUUCCAUGCCGUGCAUGGGCAACAAGAACUCGUGCCCAGGUUGCCCCUGCCCGGUGGCCGCCGGCUCGUCUUUCCGUCCAUCGAGGACAGCUUUAAUUACCCCCGGAGUCUCCCUGCCGCCGGAUCCGGUUCCCAUCAAUGAUUCAUGCCCUGCUGUGGGAAGGGGUUCCUCGGGUGCCGGGCUGGGACCGGGGGGAUUUUCCGACCUUUCCAGCGUUAAAUUGGUGCGGACGGACCUGGUGGUGGUUGGAGGUGCACAGGGCGCCCCGUGGGGGACGAACGCAACUGCCUGCAGAGCCCCGAGGUCCCCAUGGGUGUCCUGAGCUGCAUGAAGUACCUGAUGUUUGUCUUCAACGUGCUGGUGUUUGCCGGGGGGAUCUGCCUGCUGAGCGUGGGGGUCUGGGUGGCCGUGGACCCGGCUGGUUUCCAGAACAUUGUGGCUGCCAAGCCUGUGCUGAGCGUGGGUGCCUACCUGCUGCUGGCUGUGGGCAUCGCCCUCUCGCUGCUGGGCUUCCUGGGCUGCUGCGGGGCGCUGCGCCGGAGCCGG
rnacentral:lncRNA from 1 species